AUGGGGCAAAACUCACUUAACAAAUGUCUCCUUGAACAACAUAAAUUUUGGGUUCAAUUGUGGCCUGUACUUGUCAUACGAGAGGAUAAGCCCUCUUCCAUGAUAAACAUUCACCAACAUAGGAUUGUCUUGGGGAAAUGCAGGGAGGACUGCUAGGUAUGCUUUGAACAAAAUAAAAUCCAAAUAUAGAAUUACUAGAUAGGCUGCUAUGAUAGAACCAAAUGAUUUCUCCUACUCAUGUUGUUGUAUCAAUCUGACAUUUUAAAGUCUUCAGAUUCCAUGGGGCCCUUAGCACUCACAGGAUAACUGCAACCAGGAACAUAGUUCAGAUGCUACUGGAUAGAGGUUUAGUUUGUCCAUUAAAACCAGGCCACAAUUAGGCCACAAGAGCUACUGGGGCAGUUUAUGAUCACCAUACAGAAAUGAGAGUGGUUUAAAGAUCUCUAUUUAAAGUCAGGGUCCUUCAGCAUAGCAGUGUUUGCAGAAUAGAUCUCCAAAUUAAAAACAUAGCAAAAUCCUGCCCUGGGAUACAAAUCUGAAAUAAAAUAUUUUAUGUUUCAGGAACAAAACAAAGCAGCCUCCCAAAAGCUAUUGAUUCCAACUGCCAGCAACCUUCCCUGUUGGCCAAAGAGACUGGGAUCAGUGGGAGUUGAAAUUUAAAACCCGAGACAGGAAGAGAGGUGAUGGCAAAGAAGAAAGCCCUUGGAAUAAGACGGUUAAUCGGUAUUAUAUUUUCAUUAAUAAAUAAGUUCUCUUUUAAUAACACUGAACAUUUCACAGAUCUCCCCCCUCCCCGCCCUCCCAUAUUGCCUUUCUUUCCACACAUAUACACAAGAUCAAUAGAAGGUCAUUCUCUCCUCCCACCCACCCCAGCUUUAUCUCUACGAGGAAGGAUGCCUGGGCACCUGUAUCCUAGAUACAGAGAAGGGUACAUGUGUAGGCCCAGAGGGAGAAAGGAGAGAUGCUUGCUCUCAGUCCGCAUCCAACAGGCAAUUGACAAGCAGCAGAUGGACGUGAUGACCUAGGAGGCCAAAGGAAGAUAUUAACUGUGCAGUGGCAAGGCAGGAUAGUGGUGGUGGUGAUUUUUUUUCCAGUUCCUUCAAAUAUGCGCAAUAAUCACCAGAGCUG